CCCCGUGGUGCAUUAGCUAGUUGGUAAGGUAAGGCUUACCAAGGCGAUGAUGCAUAGCCCGAGUUGAGAGACUGAUCGGGCCACAUUGGGGACUGAGACACGGGGCCCAAACUCCUACGGGGGGAGGGGCAGCAGUAGGGGGAAUCUUCCACAAUGGACGCAAGUCUGAUGGAGCAACGCCGCGUGAGUGAAGAAGGUUUUCGGAUCGUAAAGCUCUGUUGUUGGUGAAGAAGGAUAGAGGUAGUAACUGGCCUUUAUUUGACGGUAAUCAACCAGAAAGUCACGGCUAACUACGUGCCAGCAGCCGCGGUAAU
rnacentral:rRNA from 1 species